GAUAAGAACGUAGCGAAAUGCGAUAAGUAGUGUGAAUUGCAGAAUUCAGUGAAUCAUCGAAUCUUUGAACGCACAUUGCGCCCUUUGGUAUUCCUUAGGGCAUGCCUGUUCGAGCGUCAUUUAAACCUUCAAGCUAAGCUUGGUGUUGGGUGACUGUCCGCUUCACUGCGGACUCGCCUCAAAAUUAUUGGCGGCCGGUACAUUGGCUUCGAGCGCAGCAGAAACGCGAACUCGGGCCCGUCGUAUUGGCUCCCAGAAGCUAUCUUCACAAUUUUGACCUCGGAUCAGGUAGGGAUACCCGCUGAACUUAAGCAUAUCAAUAAGCGGAGGA
rnacentral:misc_RNA from 1 species